rnacentral:rRNA from 1 species
CGGGUGAGUAACACGUGAGGAACCUGCCCCGAAGACCGGGACAACACCGGGAAACCGGUGCUAAUACCGGAUACCUUCACCGGAUCGCAUGUUCUGGUGAAGAAAUGGAUUCCGCUUCGGGAUGGCCUCGCGGCCUAUCAGCUAGUUGGUGAGGUAACGGCUCACCAAGGCAACGACGGGUAGCUGGUCUGAGAGGAUGUCCAGCCACACUGGGACUGAGACACGGCCCAG